rnacentral:rRNA from 1 species
CGGGUGACGAGCGGCGGACGGGUGAGUAAUGUCUGGGAAACUGCCUGAUGGAGGGGGAUAACUACUGGAAACGGUAGCUAAUACCGCAUAACGUCGCAAGACCAAAGUGGGGGACCUUCGGGCCUCAUGCCAUCAGAUGUGCCCAGAUGGGAUUAGCUGGUAGGUGGGGUAACGGCUCACCUAGGCGACGAUCCCUAGCUGGUCUGAGAGGAUGACCAGCCACACUGGAACUGAGACACGGUCCAGACUCCUACGGGAGGCAGCAGUGGGGAAUAUUGCACAAUGGGCGCAAGCCUGAUGCAGCCAUGCCGCGUGUGUGAAGAAGGCCUUCGGGUUGUAAAGCACUUUCAGCGGGGAGGAAGGCGGUGAGGUUAAUAACCUCACCGAUUGACGUUACCCGCAGAAGAAGCACCGGCUAACUCCGUGCCAGCAGCCGCGGUAAUACGGAGGGUGCAAGCGUUAAUCGGAAUUACUGGGCGUAAAGCGCACGCAGGCGGUCUGUCAAGUCGGAUGUGAAAUCCCCGGGCUCAACCUGGGAACUGCAUUCGAAACUGGCAGGCUAGAGUCUUGUAGAGGGGGGUAGAAUUCCAGGUGUAGCGGUGAAAUGCGUAGAGAUCUGGAGGAAUACCGGUGGCGAAGGCGGCCCCCUGGACAAAGACUGACGCUCAGGUGCGAAAGCGUGGGGAGCAAACAGGAUUAGAUACCCUGGUAGUCCACGCUGUAAACGAUGUCGAUUUGGAGGUUGUGCCCUUGAGGCGUGGCUUCCGGAGCUAACGCGUUAAAUCGACCGCCUGGGGAGUACGGCCGCAAGGUUAAAACUCAAAUGAAUUGACGGGGGCCCGCACAAGCGGUGGAGCAUGUGGUUUAAUUCGAUGCAACGCGAAGAACCUUACCUGGUCUUGACAUCCACAGAACUUUCCAGAGAUGGAUUGGUGCCUUCGGGAACUGUGAGACAGGUGCUGCAUGGCUGUCGUCAGCUCGUGUUGUGAAAUGUUGGGUUAAGUCCCGCAACGAGCGCAACCCUUAUCCUUUGUUGCCAGCGGUUAGGCCGGGAACUCAAAGGAGACUGCCAGUGAUAAACUGGAGGAAGGUGGGGAUGACGUCAAGUCAUCAUGGCCCUUACGACCAGGGCUACACACGUGCUACAAUGGCAUAUACAAAGAGAAGCGACCUCGCGAGAGCAAGCGGACCUCAUAAAGUAUGUCGUAGUCCGGAUUGGAGUCUGCAACUCGACUCCAUGAAGUCGGAAUCGCUAGUAAUCGUAGAUCAGAAUGCUACGGUGAAUACGUUCCCGGGCCUUGUACACACCGCCCGUCACACCAUGGGAGUGGGUUGCAAAAGAAGUAGGUAGCUUAACCUUCGGGAGGGCG